GAUGAACGCUAGCGGGAGGCUUAACACAUGCAAGUCGAGGGGCAUCACGAGGUAGCAAAUACUUUGGUGGCGACCGGCAAACGGGUGAGUAACGCGUAUGUAACCUACCCUGUACAGGGGGAUAACCCGGAGAAAUUCGGACUAAUAUCCCAUAACAAUAUCCGGGGGCAUCUUUGGAUAUUUAAAGUUCCGGCGGUACGGGAUGGGCAUGCGUAACAUUAGCUAGUUGGUAAGGUAACGGCUUACCAAGGCUUUGAUGUUUAGGGGUCCUGAGAGGGUGGUCCCCCACACUGGUACUGAGACACGGACCAGACUCCUACGGGAGGCAGCAGUGAGGAAUAUUGGUCAAUGGGCGCAAGCCUGAACCAGCCAUCCCGCGUGCAGGAAGACGGCGCUAUGCGUUGUAAACUGCUUUUCCAGGGAGAGAAACUUGCGCACGUGUUGCGCAAUUGACGGUACCCUGGGAAUAAGCAUCGGCUAACUCCGUG
rnacentral:rRNA from 1 species